GUGCCAGCAGCCGCGGUAAUACGAGUGGUGCUAGCGUUAUUCGGAUUUAUUGGGCGUAAAGGGUGCGUAGACGGUAUGACAAGUCUGUUGUUAAAUUCCUCGGCUCAACUGAGGAUCUGCGAUGGAAACUGUCGUGCUAGAGGAUGGAAGAGAGAAGUGGAAUUCUUGGAGUAGCGGUAAAAUGCGUAGAUCUCAAGAGGAACACCGAUGGCGAAGGCAGCUUCUUGGUCCAUUCCUGACGUUGAGGCACGAAAGCGUGGGGAGCAAACAGGAUUAGAUACCCUUGUAGUCC
rnacentral:rRNA from 1 species